CAAGAUUGAAGCCCAACUAGUGGCUGAAAAUACUGUAGUCGGGCUGAAAACACUGUAGGCGGUGGCACCGCCUAGCUGGGCGGUGACACCUCCUUGGCUGGGCGGUUGCACCGUCCAGCACCCGAGCGCUGGGCGGUGGCACCUCCUUGGCUGGGCGGUUGCACCGUCCAGCACCCGAGCGCUGGGCGGUGGCACCGCCUGGUUGGGCGGUGGCACCUCCAGCACCGGGAACCCUAAGAGAAUUCAAAUUUUGAAGCCCAAAAUUUGAAUCCUCUUGAGGCCUAUAAAUACCCCUCAAAUCUCAACUGAGGUUCCAACUUUUGAGAAGC
rnacentral:lncRNA from 1 species